AUGCAAUUACUAUACCGUGGUCACUGAAAUUUGAACUAUGUUAUUGGGAGAAUGCUGUUAUUUAAAUCGUGUUCAUGGAAAUUCAUGUAUAUUGGAACCAUGCGAUGUGAGGAGUCCCUGUGUACAGUAUAAUAAUUAUACUGAUUCUACAUACCUGAUAGAAAGGAGGAAAGGAGAAAGCUCCACAGUCAAAGAACACAGCCUGCUGCCCACUGAGUUGUUUAUCACCUGUUGUUGUUUGUCAUCUGUGGUCACCUCUCCACAUUCUCUGCCCCUGCCUGGCAAGCUUCCUCUUCUGCUUUAUUAAUGAGUACAAGUCAGGAGGACUACCGGAAGCCCUUCCUUAGUGCAGCAAGGCCAAUGAUACAUCACAAGCCAACAUGGCCAGCACCCUGCUCUGACCUGUGUCCGGUUUCUCCCAGCUAUGGUCAAGUUCGCCUGGGACCAGGGAUCAACCCUGUUUCUGUCUUCAGGGAUUAAAGUCUUGGGCUUGACCCUAUCCCUGGGGUGAGUACAGUUUGUCACACCCCUCACAUCAGCCAUCUUCCACCUGCCCAGACACCUGCAUACUGCCUGAUUGCUGUAUUCCUCUGCUUGUCCACCUGGACAUCCAACCUCCUCUGGGCAUAUGUGCCUGCCCCAGCCACCCUGGAGGUAGAGCUCCACCUGCCUGGGCUCCUUCCCACACCUGCUGCUGGUUCCACCUCCAGCACCAGCCUCUAGUCUCCAGAACUCUGACAGGGGACCGAGGGAUACCUUUGAGUCCCAGAUACAUAGAGAG
rnacentral:lncRNA from 1 species